rnacentral:rRNA from 1 species
UACGUUGGGGGCAAGCGUUGUUCGGAAUUACUGGGCGUAAAGGGCUCGUAGGCGGCCAACUAAGUCAGACGUGAAAUCCCUCGGCUUAACCGGGGAACUGCGUCUGAUACUGGAUGGCUUGAGUUCGGGAGAGGGAUGCGGAAUUCCAGGUGUAGCGGUGAAAUGCGUAGAUAUCUGGAGGAACACCGGUGGCGAAGGCGGCAUCCUGGACCGGUAUUGACGCUGAGGCGCGAAAGCCAGGGGAGCAAACGGG